UACGGAGGAUGCAAGCGUUAUCCGGAAUGAUUGGGCGUAAAGCGUCCGCAGGCGGCAAAUCAAGUCUGCUGUUAAAGCGCAGGGCUUAACUCUGUAAAGGCAGUGGAAACUGAUUAGCUAGAGUGUGGUAGGGGCAGAGGGAAUUCCCAGUGUAGCGGUGAAAUGCGUAGAGAUUGGGAAGAACAUCGGUGGCGAAGGCGGUCUGCUGGGCCAUAACUGACACUCAAAGGACGAAAGCUAGGGGAGCGAAUGGG
rnacentral:rRNA from 1 species